CUGGAAUAUGGUUAGAAAUCAAGUAAAAUCUCAAGGAGAAUUGGUAAAGGGCUUUUAUUGGAAUUACCAAACACUGGACAAAUAUAACACCCUAUGGAGUCCAUGGCUAAAUAAGUAUUAAUAUAGCUAAGAGGGCAACGCAGAGCAAGAGGAAAAAUAAGAAAGGAAAGAGAAAGGGGGAUAAAAGGAUGGGGAAAGGAGAAAGAAAGAAGGUAGGGAAAGCGGAAAUGAAAAAGAGAAAAAGAAUAAAUGUAGCUCGUACUCCUCACCGUAUGGAACAAGGGAUAGGAAAUGGAAUAAGCGUGAGUGAGUGAGUGUUAUUUGUUAUUUGUGAAGUAGAAAUAGAACAUUGAAAUAAUAAAGUGAAGUAAAGGUAGAAAAGGAUAAGCAAAGGGAGAAAGAAGAAAAUUGCGAAGAAUAACGAUAGACAUUAACAAAUGAUGAACAUGGUAUGGAAGAAAAAUCUAAAAUUGAGCGAUGGAGAUACACAUACUUAGCUCUGAUGGUAAUAUAAAAAAAAAAGAAAUGAAUUUGUGUUGCCUUAAAACAAUUGUCCGCAGCCCCAAACAAAGUUGCAGGAUGAGAGCAUAAUGCAGGCAGCUCACUUUCAGAACUGCUAUUCUUUGGUAGGAAGAUACACAUCAGCAACAUUGAGUGCUAUUGUGCUGGAGCCUCGUAUGGUUUAAUUAUAGCCUAC